GUUCUUUGACUUUAAACAAGUAUAACAUGAUAGUAUAAAUUUCUUAAGAACUUUCCAUAUUUUAAGCCACCAAAAGUCUUUAGACAAAAGUUCCAAGGUCUUGUUGAAUCCAAAAUGUCUAGCUGUAGGAAAGUCAUGGCAUGUUUGAAGAACGUGCAAGCAAGUUAGUCCUUUAGGAAUGCACAAACAUUCUUUAAAGAAUAAGAGGUAGUCUUCAUACUUAAAUUUAGAAGAUUCUUCAGGAAGGUUGUUGGCAAGAUGUUUGAUAUAAAGAAUAAGAAAGUCCAUGUUUGAAGCUUUACAAACAUGAUCAAGAAAUAAUAAAUCCAUAAGCAUUAAUAUAUUAAUUGUUCAAAGAUGAAAUUACUCAAAUUUUAACAAAGUUGUCUAUUGUUGAUCAUAUGUUUCCUUGUCUUCUUUUGAAUUAAGAUAAGAAUAUCUUAAUAAUACAUCUAAUAAUCUUUAUUGGCUCUCAAAUUGAUAUGUGAUACAAAAAUCAAAU
rnacentral:lncRNA from 1 species